rnacentral:rRNA from 1 species
UACGUAGGUGGCAAGCGUUGUCCGGAAUUAUUGGGCGUAAAGAGCUCGUAGGCGGUUUGUCGCGUCUGCUGUGAAAACCCGAGGCUCAACCUCGGGCCUGCAGUGGGUACGGGCAGACUAGAGUGCGGUAGGGGAGAUUGGAAUUCCUGGUGUAGCGGUGGAAUGCGCAGAUAUCAGGAGGAACACCAAUGGCGAAGGCGGGUCUCUGGGCAGUAACUGACGCUGAGGAGCGAAAGCGUGGGGAGCGAACAGG